AACUUGUUUUUCAAAAUUUCUAACGAUGAUAUUCUUCUUUUAUAAGAUGUCAAAUGAGGUACUGAUGCGUCUCCUUGGGCGGAAAGGACAAAACGAAUGAAACGUGCCGAACAGAUGUGCAAAUUUGAUGCUGGGCGGAUACAAACUUCGUUCAGAGAUCUGAGCAGAGUCGGAUUUGAUAUGAGGGCUCGAGCGAAAGAAGUGUCGUCUAGGCGUUCAGACCGCCCAUCGUGCGUUCUGCAUGAAAAAAAUGAAAAAUGUACUGGUAGAGACGGUCGCACUGCAAGACGGAGAGAUUUAACCGUUCAAUCGUUCCAUUCGACCAGUAGAGCUUGUUUUCACAGAAGUAGCAGCCAUACGCGUAGCGAAAGCUGCCAAUCAUGUCCACAGCGUCAAGAAUGAUUCGCUUCGGUUCGAAGAUAUCGAGCAAAUUUAACAUCCGGUCAGCUCCAAAGAAUUUUUCGACAGCUUUGCGUACAAGGGCAAACUAGAUAAUACGACAGAUGUAGGUAAAAACGUGUACACAAUUUUCGCGGGUAGGCAAAAUACGGUAUUUUGAGCCCCAGGGUUUAGAUUUCCUGGGCUGUUAC